rnacentral:rRNA from 1 species
CCCUGGUAGUCCACGCCCUAAACGAUGUCAACUAGCUGUUGGGGCCUUCGGGCCUUGGUAGCGCAGCUAACGCGUGAAGUUGACCGCCUGGGGAGUACGGUCGCAAGAUUAAAACUCAAAGGAAUUGACGGGGACCCGCACAAGCGGUGGAUGAUGUGGAUUAAUUCGAUGCAACGCGAAAAACCUUACCUACCCUUGACAUGUCUGGAAUUCCGAAGAGAUUUGGAAGUGCUCGCAAGAGAACCGGAACACAGGUGCUGCAUGGCUGUCGUCAGCUCGUGUCGUGAGAUGUUGGGUUAAGUCCCGCAACGAGCGCAACCCUUGUCAUUAGUUGCUACGAAAGGGCACUCUAAUGAGACUGCCGGUGACAAACCGGAGGAAGGUGGGGAUGACGUCAAGUCCUCAUGGCCCUUAUGGGUAGGGCUUCACACGUCAUACAAUGGUCGGGACAGAGGGUCGCCAACCCGCGAGGGGGAGCCAAUCCCAGAAACCCGAUCGUAGUCCGGAUCGCAGUCUGCAACUCGACUGCGUGAAGUCGGAAUCGCUAGUAAUCGCGGAUCAGCAUGUCGCGGUGAAUACGUUCCCGGGUCUUGUACACACCGCCCGUCACACCAUGGGAGUGGGUUUUACCAGAAGUAGUUAGCCUAACCGUAAGGGGGGCGAUUACCACGGUAGGAUUCAUGACUGGGGUGAAGU